rnacentral:rRNA from 1 species
UGGGGAAUAUUGCACAAUGGGCGAAAGCCUGAUGCAGCGACGCCGCGUGAGGGAUGACGGCCUUCGGGUUGUAAACCUCUUUCAGUAGGGACGAAGCGCAAGUGACGGUACCUGCAGAAGAAGCACCGGCUAACUACGUGCCAGCAGCCGCGGUAAUACGUAGGGUGCGAGCGUUGUCCGGAAUUACUGGGCGUAAAGAGCUCGUAGGCGGUUUGUCACGUCGUCUGUGAAAUCCUAGGGCUUAACCCUGGACGUGCAGGCGAUACGGGCUGACUUGAGUACUACAAGGGAGACUGGAAUUUCUGGUGUAGCGGAGGAAUGCACAGAUAUCAGGAAGAACACCGAUGGCGAAGGCAGGUCUCUGGGUAGUAACUGACGCUGAGGAGCGAAAGCAUGGGUAGCGAACAGG